rnacentral:rRNA from 1 species
AACGAACGCUGGCGGCAUGCCUAACACAUGCAAGUCGAACGAAGUCUUCGGACUUAGUGGCGCACGGGUGCGUAACGCGUGGGAAUCUGCCCUUGGGUGCGGAAUAACUUCUCGAAAGGGAUGCUAAUACCGCAUAAUGUCGUAAGACCAAAGAUUUAUCGCCCAAGGAUGAGCCCGCGUAAGAUUAGCUAGUUGGUGGGUAAAAGCCUACCAAGGCGACGAUCUUUAGCUGGUCUGAGAGGAUGAUCAGCCACACUGGGACUGAGCACGGCCCAGACUCCUACGGGAGCAGCAGUGGGGAAUA